rnacentral:rRNA from 1 species
UACGGAGGGUGCAAACGUUGCUCGGAAUCAUUGGGCGUAAAGCGUACGUAGGCGGCUUGUUAAGUCGGGUGUGAAAGCCCUGGGCUCAACCCAGGAAGUGCACUCGAAACUGGCAGGCUUGAAUAUGGAAGAGGGUCGCGGAAUUCCCGGUGUAGAGGUGAAAUUCGUAGAUAUCGGGAGGAACACCAGUGGCGAAGGCGGCGACCUGGGCCAAUAUUGACGCUGAGGUGCGAAAGCGUGGGGAGCAAACAGG